rnacentral:rRNA from 1 species
UACGGAGGGUGCAAGCGUUAUCCGGAUUCACUGGGCUUAAAGGGUGCGUAGGCGGGAAUGUAAGUCAGUGGUGAAAUCUCCGUGCUUAACACGGAAACUGCCAUUGAUACUAUGUUUCUUGAAUUUUCUGGAGGUUAGCGGAAUAUGUCAUGUAGCGGUGAAAUGCUUAGAUAUGACAUAGAACACCAAUUGCGAAGGCAGCUAACUACAGGGAUAUUGACACUGAGGCACGAAAGCGUGGGGAUCAAACAGG